rnacentral:rRNA from 1 species
GUGAGGAAUAUUGCGCAAUGGAGGCAACUCUGACGCAGCCAUGCCGCGUGCAGGAAGAAGGCGCUACGCGUUGUAAACUGCUUUUAACCGGGAAGAAACCCCAGGACGUGUCCUGGGUUGACGGUACCGGAGGAAUAAGCACCGGCUAACUUCGUGCCAGCAGCCGCGGUAAUACGAAGGGUGCAAGCGUUGUCCGGAUUCAUUGGGUUGAAAGGGUGCGUAGGCGGAGCGUUAAGUCAGUGGUGAAAUCCUGCAGCUUAACUGUGGACUUGCCAUUGAUACUGGCGCUCUUGAGUGCGCUAGAAGUGGGCGGAAUGUGCCGUGUAGCGGUGAAAUGCUUAGAUAUGGCACAGAACACCAAUUGCGAAGGCAGCUCACUAAGGCGAUACUGACGCUGAGGCACGAAAGCGUGGGGAUCGAACAGGAUUAGAAACCCUGUAGUCC